AGAGUUUGAUCAUGGCUCAGGACGAACGCUGGCGGCGUGCUUAACACAUGCAAGUCGAACGGAAAGGCCCUGCUUGCAGGGUACUCGAGUGGCGAACGGGUGAGUAACACGUGGGUGAUCUGCCCUGCACUUCGGGAUAAGCCUGGGAAACUGGGUCUAAUACCGGAUAGGAGCCAUUUUUAGUGUGAUGGUUGGAAAGUUUUUUCGGUGUAGGAUGAGCUCGCGGCCUAUCAGCUUGUUGGUGGGGUAAUGGCCUACCAAGGCGGCGACGGGUAGCCGGCCUGAGAGGGUGGACGGCCACAUUGGGACUGAGAUACGGCCCAGACUCCUACGGGAGGCAGCAGUGGGGAAUAUUGCACAAUGGGCGCAAGCCUGAUGCAGCGACGCCGCGUGGGGGAUGACGGCCUUCGGGUUGUAAACUCCUUUCGCUAGGGACGAAGCUUUUUGUGACGGUACCUAGAUAAGAAGCACCGGCUAACUACGUGCCAGCAGCCGCGGUAAUACGUAGGGUGCGAGCGUUGUCCGGAAUUACUGGGCGUAAAGGGCUCGUAGGUGGUUUGUCGCGUCGUCUGUGAAAUUCCGGGGCUUAACUCCGGGCGUGCAGGCGAUACGGGCAUAACUUGAGUACUGUAGGGGUAACUGGAAUUCCUGGUGUAGCGGUGAAAUGCGCAGAUAUCAGGAGGAACACCGAUGGCGAAGGCAGGUUACUGGGCAGUUACUGACGCUGAGGAGCGAAAGCACGGGUAGCGAACAGGAUUAGAUACCCUGGUAGUUCAUGCCGUAAACGGUGGGCGCUAGGUGUGAGGGUCUUUUCACGACUUUCGUGCCGUAGCUAACGCAUUAAGCGCCCCGCCUGGGGAGUACGGCCGCAAGGCUAAAACUCAAAGGAAUUGACGGGGGCCCGCACAAGCGGCGGAGCAUGUGGAUUAAUUCGAUGCAACGCGAAGAACCUUACCUGGGCUUGACAUACACCGGAUCGGGCUAGAGAUAGUCUUUCCCUUUGUGGCUGGUGUACAGGUGGUGCAUGGUUGUCGUCAGCUCGUGUCGUGAGAUGUUGGGUUAAGUCCCGCAACGAGCGCAACCCUUGUCU
rnacentral:rRNA from 1 species